UCUGUAGCCCUCUGGCCAGUGGGGAAAAGAAAUACUGGGCAGAAGGCACUGGGAAGGUAUCCAUUCACCCAUACUUUUCUGGGAGUCUUACCCACCGGCCUGUACUUCGACUUUGCAACACCGUUGCAGUUCUUGGCAAUGGCAUCCUGGAAGCCAGCAGGGGUAUAGCCCUCCCUAGCCUUCUCCCUCCCCAAAUUGGAGGAGUCGGUGUAAGGAACUUUGCAGGCGAGUGAGGUGCUCCAGGCAACAAGGAAUCCGGGUCCCUUUUCCUAGUGAAGGCUACGCACUCUGUGUCCUGGGACCUGCAAACAGAAAACCGCGGUUUCUCGAAGAACCUCAGCAAAUGGUCUCACGAAGUUUGUCGGCUCCUUAACCCAGGAAGAACGAAGACAAGGAAAAUUCUCUAUUUUAAUCCCGGGCAGUUGGCCGGGGAGCACUGAAAAAGAUCAGAAACACCCCAAAUCCAGCUUUUAAUCACUCCCCGUCCAGAUCCACAAAUAUGAAAAUUAUCUUAUUGAGAAAUUGUUAUUCCUUUAUCCCCAAAGUCCAUGCCGCUCUAACACCUACCGAGGACAAUGUGUACUUGUCUUCUCAUAAGCAUAAUUAAACCAAGCAAAGCAGGACAUCAGGAUCCCAAACCAGAUAGAUCCCACUUAGUAGUGAGCUCUCUUGAAAGAUCCUUCUAGACUCACCAAGACAAGAAAGAUAUACCUAGUGACAGCCAUUCACAGCCAUCUCUGAGCCUCCAGAAACUAGACAAGAUGUGAGAAGAGCAUGCCGGGGCUCCUCCAAUUACCUGUUGGUGAACUAGAAAGUCGGGAUGAACACCUCUAGCUAAACUGUUCUCUCAAGUUCCCAUUUUAGGUAUUUCUACUGUUUGCCCACUGCCUAUUAGGCUGGAAGCUCACUAUAGGAAAAGUAAAUAUUGUCAUUUCAAAU
rnacentral:lncRNA from 1 species